rnacentral:rRNA from 1 species
UACGUAGGGUGCGAGCGUUAAUCGGAACUACUGGGCGUAAAGCGUGCGCAGGCGGUUCGUUAUGUCCGAUGUGAAAGCCCCGAGCUCAACUUGGGAAUGGCAUUGGAAACUGGCGGGCUGGAGUGUGGCAGAGGGGGGUGGAAUUCCACGUGUAGCAGUGAAAUGCGCAGAUAUCAGGAAGAACACCCGUGGCGAAAGCGGCUCUCUGGAACGGUACUGACGCUGAGACGCGAAAGCGUGGGGAGCGAACAGG